GCCUUGGUCGGAAACCAAGGCCCGUAAAGGAG
rfam:Eggerthella lenta DSM 2243, complete genome.